ensembl:lncRNA
CUAAUAUAACUUAGAUUUGCUUUUUAACUUUUGGCUUUACAAAGGUUGAAAAGUACUACAGUCUGCCUUCUUGUUUCAAAAUUUUAAAUGCUAAGCAUUUUUAUUGUGUUCUUUAAGUGAACUCAGUCCUCAAUGUGCCUUUAUAUAUACAAACCCAUCCAUUUGUGUCUCCAUGGUGUGACACCGUAUGUCCUGUAUGAAUCCCAAAGACAGGGCAUCCCACUUGCAUAGUGUAUUUGGAAUAACUGUCACAUUCUAACGCAGUCGGUUAAGAUAACCGUCAGAGAGACAGUCUGGAGGGCAAGAGGACACUAAUUUACAAAGACUGGGACACCGUAAGCAUACUGUGUAAUGAGGACUGAGUAGGAGGACCAGCAGGACGUUGUCAUCCUACCAGAGGCUGUGCUUGAUCAUCUUUUCAGAUUUUUUUUUUUCCACCUUAAUAGUAAGAAGCAGUCACUUGCCAUUUUUCUGUAUUUUCUGGAGGUAUCGUAGGAUGCCACCAAAUUCCACAGGUCCUGGUUUUGAACCAGAGGAUUUGGGAUGGCAGUGGCAUCCGCACACUGAACGAACACUGGUGAAGUCGUGAUCCAUCCGGGCUGCACAUACAAAUAUGAAGAUACUCUGGAUAAUCCCAUUUUUCCUGCUGCAAGACACGGAAGCUUUUCUGAUGAAGAAUGCUAAAAUCAAGCUGUGUUUACAGGCCAGCCCAGAGGAUGAGAGUUUGCUGCUGGAGGACUGUAACCCAGCAUCAGAUUUCCAGGACUGGUCUUGGCAGGGUGAUUCCUUGAUGAAUCACGGCACGCAGAGCUGCCUCUCUGUGGUGGAGGCCAGCAUAGUGCAAAGCCCCUGUGACAGCACAGCUUACACGGGCUGGGACUGCUCGAAUUCAUUGCUCUCUCCUCUGGGCAGCAGCCAGAGCUACCUGGUGGCGAGCAGGAAAGGAGUUGGUCUUGAUAACGUGAGAGGUCUCAAGGCUCAGUGGUUGCAAGGUGGCACGGAGAGGAAUGUCUGCGAGGAGAAAGCAGCCAAGGCAGUGCAAGAGAGCUACUUCCAUGCAGCCCUUACCAGCACGCAGGUGUACGACCACACAGCAUACAACUCUACCCUCGUGGCGGGUAUGGAUCCAGAAAAGCUGAAGGAUCUGCUGUGGUUCUUCCGCACAGAAGACCGUAAGUCCCACUGAUGUUCCUGGGCUGAGUCCAAAUAGAAAUAGACGGUCCUUGGCUGUGAACCCUCCUGCCCAGCGGAGGUGCCUGAGGGAAUUAUCUAAGGAGGGUAUUUACCCCAGGUAUAUAAACCCUCAGCCUCACCUCCCGAAGAAGCAGGCCAUGUGUGAAGCCAGGCAUGGCGCUUUGCUGUGGUAGGGUCUUCUCCCAGAGAGGGCUCCAGCCUCCCUCCAGGCAUGUUCUGCCAAAAGAGCAAAGGUCUGAGAUCACCAGUGAUUUUGGCAGGGUGCAGGGAGCGGAUCAAUAUGAGCGGGUCAGCGCCCUGAGGAUCAACUUCAAAGCCACGAAACCCAAGGACAGAACAUCUGCUGCCAUCUGCACUGCACAUCC